rnacentral:rRNA from 1 species
UACGAAGGGGGCUAGCGUUGCUCGGAUUGACUGGGCGUAAAGGGCGCGUAGGCGGUUCGUACAGUCAGACGUGAAAUUCCUGGGCUCAACCUGGGGGCUGCGUUUGAUACGUGCGGACUUGAGUGCGGAAGAGGGUCGUGGAAUUCCCAGUGUAGAGGUGAAAUUCGUAGAUAUUGGGAAGAACACCGGUGGCGAAGGCGGCGACCUGGUCCGAUGCUGACGCUGAGGCGCGAAAGCGUGGGGAGCAAACAGG